rnacentral:rRNA from 1 species
AACGAACGCUGGCGGCAGGCCUAAAACAUGCAAGUCGAACGCCCCGCAAGGGGAGUGGCGCACGGGUGAGUAACGCGUGGGAACGUGCCCUUCACUACGGGACAACGUCGGGAAACUGACGCGAAUACCGUAUAAUGACUCCGGUCCAAAGAUUUAUCGGUGAAGGAGCGGCCCGCGUCUGAUUAGUUUGUUGGUGGGGUAAUGGCCUACCAAGACUACGAUCAGUAGCAGGUCUGAGAGGAUGAUCUGCCACACUGGGACUGAGACACGGCCCAGACUCCUACGGGAGGCAGCAGUUAGGAAUAUUGGACAAUGGGCGAAAGCCUGAUCCAGCCAUGCCGCGUGUGCGAUGAAGGCCUUAGGGUUGUAAAGCACUUUCGUUGGGGAUGAUAAUGACCGUACCCAAAGAAGAAGCACCGGCUAACUUCGUGCCAGCAGCCGCCGUAA